UACGUAGGGUGCAAGCGUUAAUCGGAAUUACUGGGCGUAAAGCGUGCGCAGGCGGUUGUGCAAGACAGUUGUGAAAUCCCCGGGCUCAACCUGGGAAUUGCAUUUGUGACUGUACGGCUAGAGUGUGUCAGAGGGGGGUAGAAUUCCACGUGUAGCAGUGAAAUGCGUAGAGAUGUGGAGGAAUACCGAUGGCGAAGGCAGCCCCCUGGGAUAACACUGACGCUCAUGCACGAAAGCGUGGGGAGCAAACAGG
rnacentral:rRNA from 1 species